GCGUGGCUAGCUCAGUUGGUAGAGCACAAGACUUAAUCUCGUGGGCAUGGGUUCGAGCUGCAAAUUGGGUG